UCUCCUCAGUUAUGGUGAUAUGCACUGCAAUUUAGCCUUUUUUCCACCUGACAUAAAAAAAAAAAAUGCUGCUAAUCCUUUUUCUGAAAGAAAUUCCCUGCUUGCUUUUCCUCUUUCUUUUUUUUUUCUUUCUUUUUUUUCUUUUUUUUUUUUUAAUAGGUCAAAACUGUUUAUUAUGUAGUCAUAUAUCAGAAACAAAACAAACUCAUGGCUGCAAAUCUCUGAAAUAAUCAUUUGUUUCAAAGUAAUCUUUAAGCAAUUAAGAAAAGCUUUGUCUGUAGGAGCAACACUUCUGACCAGAAAUGGUAUUUACACCUUAUCUUUGCUUUGCAGCAGUACAUGAAAAGAAGGAAGAAAAAGUAACAAAGGCAGCAGAGCAAGAUAAACCAAAGAUGAAACAUGCAAAUCCUGGAAAAGAGAAAGAACUGAAACAUUCAGCUGCUAUUAAGGAUAAAGAACAUGCUAAAGAAAAGGAAGGAAAGAAUUCUACAGCUUUAAAAGAUAAAGAGAUUACUGUGGUGGAAGAUAAAAGAAAAAGAGAGUAAGAGAAGAGACCCAAAACUCAAAUUCCUCUGUUUCAAGAGCUUCUUUAGAACCCAUGGAAAGGAGUUUGCCAGCCCUAAGCAAGCUUCUGCAUCAUUCUUCUCUCCUACAACAAUUGUUUUAACAAUUGCACUAUUUAAAGAAGAGACAGGGAAAAUAAAUCCUUGAAGAUAUCUCUGGGAUGCUCUGCA
rnacentral:lncRNA from 1 species